rnacentral:rRNA from 1 species
CCUACGGGUGGCAGCAGUGGGGAAUUUUCCGCAAUGCGCGAAAGCGUGACGCAGCGACGCCGCGUGCAUGACGAAGGCCUUCGGGUCGUAAAGUUCUUUCGUCAGGGAAGAAAAUGCCUAUUAGUAACUGUAUAAGUCUUGACGGUACCUGUAUAAGAAGCGACGGCUAACUCUGUGCCAGCAGCCGCGGUAAUACGGAGGGGGCGAGCGUUGUUCGGAGAUAAUGGGCGUAAAGAGCAAGUAGGCAGUUUUGUAAGUCAUGAGUCAAAGACUAGAGCUCAACUUUAGUAAGGCUAGUGAUACUAUAAUACUAGAGUAACAGAGAGGAUAGCAGAAUUCUUAGUGUAGCGGUGAAAUGCGUAGAUAUUAGGAGGAAUACCAUCAGCGAAGGCGGCAAUCUGGCUGGAAACUGACGCUGAGCUGCGAAAGCGUGGGUAGCAAACAGGAUUAGAUACCCUAGUAGUC